rnacentral:rRNA from 1 species
AAGGGCACCACAAGAACGCGUGGAGCAUGUGGCUUAAUUUGACUCAACGCGGGGAAUCUUACCGGGUCCGGACACACUGAGGAUUGACAGGCGAAAAACUUUGAAAGUCAAGUCUCGGCUUGGCCGACGCUGUUUUGUAAAUUUGCUAGUCCUUUCAUGAUUGUGUGAUAAGUGGUGCAUGGCCGUUCUUAGUUCGUGGAAUAAUCUGUCUGCUUAAUUGCGUCAACUCAAAGGUACACUACAUGUCAGGAGUUUUCAAAGAAUCACACUGUGAUUUCUGAGAUUUCUCUUGCUGUAGAACUACGUGCCUUCUGCAACGAACGUGACCCCAACCCUUUUUUGUGCUGCUCAUAGUUGGUAAAAUGCAUCUUCGGAUGUUUUUUGCUUUAAAUACUUGACAGUGUAAUAAAAGGGGACUGCAGGCUUCUAGCUUGAGGAAGGUUGGGGCAAUAACAGGUCUGUGAUGCCCUUAGAUGUUCCGGGCUGCACACGUGCUACAAUGAACAGUGCAGAAAGUAUAUUUUUAAAAAUGCCUUCUAUUGGCUUCGGCUUUUAGUUGGUAUAUAACCUACUUCGAGAGAUAGUAGGCAAUCAUUUGUCAGUACUGAUUUCCCAUUAAGCUUUAGUUUAUUUCAACUUCGGUUGUUUUAAACGUAUGCUCUAUUUGUAAGACUUCGUAGUGGGGACAGACCAUUGUUAAUUAUUGGUCUCGCCUCAACUAGGAAUGCCUUGUACUGGAAAUUCAACAGGUUUCCAGGAAUACGUCCCUGCCCUUUGUACACACCGCCCGUCG